CACGUGGCUACUGCGCAUGACUGCGCGUGUUCAUGCAAUUUUUUCAAGUGUUUUCGCUCGAAGCAAGCCGGCUCGAAGCGCUCGAAAUUUGGUCAAGAUAUGCAUUCUCUCAAGUUCUCAACUAUCCUCAGGAAAUUAGAGGCUUGUCAGCCUCACCCUAAUUGGGUUCUUUCACUUGUUAUUCAUAGAAAGGUUCAUGCUGUCGGUAAUACCGUAGAUGAACUUUUACAGCACUGGAAAUCUGUGUUUGUUGGUGCUGAGGUCUCCGAGCCAGAAGCCUCCAUACAGCACUUAAUGGGUGCUUCUCUGCAGUGCUCAACGGGAGAGCUACGCCAUAUGGGAAAUGCUGUUUUGACUGCACAGCAGUUGAGAGAUCUAGAGAGACGCUGUCUUUGUCGCCUGCAAAGGGAAAUAUUAUUUUCGUCAAGCAUCCGAGCGACGACUUUUUGAGAAGCCUUCCAGGCAGCCGUAGCGCAGGACGUGGCGCUGGGGUCGAGACCAUAGUGUGAAGCUGUUUGCAUCAGCUCCUCUCUUCUUUCGUCGUUUGUGGCGUUCGGAAUAUUCUUCAGGGCACCUCCUCUUACGAGCGCGUGGAGUUUCUGACCUAUUUGGCGAUGGCCGACUGUUCUGUUGAUUCUCAAUUGGCUUCAGAAUUGGUCGGCCACGCUCGGCGAUAAAGACAACUAGGUGUUGAUGUUGACGACCUAGCGGACGGGGCAGCGUUGGCGUGGUCGGAUUCAUUGGCUCCCUUGGACGCUCUGGCUGGCGGCUCAGGGCGCCCCGUCGUAACCGGGAGCUGAUGGCGUCCCGUCGCAGCCGGUGCGAUACUUAUGUGCGAUACUGUGUUGCUCUUGUUAUGUCGCCUGAUUGCUUGUUUACUUAUAAUAUGUACUGCUGUGUGUAACUUCACUGAUGAUGUCUUUGUUCAGAGACGAAACGUUUGAUUUUACAUGAAGAAUAUAACGAUAUGCCUUGUAAUAAGGUUUUUACUGCUCCUGAAGCCAACAAAAGAAGCUA